AUGCUCGUUUCAGCAGUACAUAUACUAACAUUGAAACAAUACGGAGAAGAUUAGCAUGGUCCUUGUGCAAGGAUGACAUGCAAGUUCAUGAAAUGUUUCAUAUUUAA